CUGGGGUUGAGAUAUGGAGGGUGCAUGGGAGCUGGAUGGAGUGUCAGGGAAGGAAGAGGGUUUCCUACAGAAGGAACAAUAUACGCGAGAUCCCUGAGGACAGGAAACAGCAAGUCAGAAGGACUGAAAGCAGAUGAGUGUAGCUGAUGUGGAGACUGAAAGGAAUAAAGAAGAGAUUAGAAUGAAGUAAAGAAUAGACUAAAAAGACCAAGUAGAGAAAUGGUGGCCUUGGCAAUGCACGAGAACAAAUUCCUCUGUCUCUGGUCUGUGGUCCAGGGAGAGAUCAGAGGCCACAUUCUGUUGUCUGUGUAUCCGUUCGGGACCCCUGCUGCACUGGACUCUCCUAUACAUCCAUUCUCCCCAGGAGGCAUCUCCAGUUCCGGGAUGCAGGAAGCUUGCUGGGCUGAGAUGGAACCUCUCCUGCAGCCAAGGAGGGAGUGAGCAGAGGUCCCAGACCUCAGACCUGCCCUCUCACAUCAGAUGUUCUCUUCUGAGAAAAAGAGAAGCCACCUAUUGCAAAUGGGGAGCCAAGGUAUCUCAUUUUUACUGUGCUUUGGAGUAAUAUCCAUAAUCAUAUUAA
rnacentral:lncRNA from 1 species